GGGAAUAGCUCAGUUGGUAGAGCGAUACCUUGCCAAGGUAUAGGUCGCGAGUUCGAGUCUCGUUUCCC
rnacentral:tRNA from 1 species